rnacentral:rRNA from 1 species
ACCUAGUGGCGAACGGGUGAGUAACACGUGAGAAACCUGUCCCGGACUCUGGGAUAACUCGGGGAAACCCGAGCUAAUACCGGAUACCCCCGGAGGAUCGCAUGAUCCACCGUGGAAAGUUUUUCGGUCUGGGAGGGUCUCGCGGCCUAUCAGCUAGUUGGUGAGGUAACGGCUCACCAAGGCAAUGACGGGUAGCUGGUCUGAGAGGACGAUCAGCCACACUGGGACUGAGACACGGCCCAG